UAGCAGUAUCGUAGUCCUUUUUGGACUGUGGGUGUGUGGUGGCCUUGAAAGGUGCUUUCUCGUACAAUGUCACGUCAUCAUUGAUAUAUUGUUAAGAGGUUUGUUGUA